rnacentral:rRNA from 1 species
CCCUUAGAUGUUCUGGGCCGCACGCGCGCUACAAUGAAACGUUCAACAAGUUUUCUGUGGCCAGAGAUGGCUCCGGAUCUGCUUCGUCGAAAGGCGUGGCGAAUCUUUUAAACGCGUUUCGUGCUGGGGCUUGACAUUUGCAAUUAUUUGUCAUAAACGAGGAAUUCCUAGUAAACGCGACUCAUCAGGUCGCAUUGAUUACGUCCCUGCCCUUUGUACACACCGCCCGUCGCACCUACCGAUUGAAUGUGUUGGUGAGGAGCUCGGAUUGGCAGCAGUUGGUGGUUCGCCACCGGCUAUUGCUGAGAAGUCCUCCAAACCGCCCCAUUUAGAGGAAGGAGAAGUCGUAACA